AUUGAACGCUGGCGGCAGGCCUAACACAUGCAAGUCGAGCGCGAAAGUCUUCGGAUGAGUAAAGCGGCGAACGGGUGAGUAAUGCAUGGGAAUCUGCCUGGUAGUGGGGGACAACGUCUCGAAAGGGACGCUAAUACCGCAUACGCCCUACGGGGGAAAGGGGGGAUCUUCGGACCUCUCGCUAUCAGAUGAGCCCAUGUCAGAUUAGCUAGUUGGUGAGGUAAAGGCUCACCAAGGCGACGAUCUGUAACUGGUCUGAGAGGAUGAUCAGUCACACUGGAACUGAGACACGGUCCAGACUCCUACGGGAGGCAGCAGUGGGGAAUAUUGGACAAUGGGGGCAACCCUGAUCCAGCCAUGCCGCGUGUGUGAAGAAGGCCCCUAGGGGUUGUAAAGCACUUUCAGUGGGGAGAAAGGUUAUUCACCUAAUACGUGAGUAGAUUGAUGUUACCCACAGAAGAAGCAACCGGCUAACUCCGUGCCAGCAG
rnacentral:rRNA from 1 species